rnacentral:SRP_RNA from 1 species
GCCAGACGUGGUGGCGGGCGCCUGUAAUCCCAGCUACUCAGAAGGCUGAGGCAGGAGAAUUGCUUGAGCCAGGGAGGCGGAGGUUGCAGUGAGCCGAGAUUGUGCCACUGCACUCCAGCCUGGGCGACAGAGUGACANGUCGCUCAGGCUGGAGUGCAGUGGCGCGAUCUCGGCUCACUGCAAUCUCCAACUCCCGGGUUCACGUCAUUCUCCUGCCUCAG